GAUGUUUAGCAUACAUGUUUGGCAUACAAAUGCUACUAAAUUGGGUUAAUUAGGGUUUUUGUACCUUAUGUGGUUCCUCAUGACCACACAAACUUAACUGAUAGAUUAUUGAUAAAGAAAGUAAAUUAUUCCUAAACAGCGAUAUUGUUAACAUUGAACAAUGU